rnacentral:tRNA from 1 species
AUUGAUUUGGCAGAUUAUUGUAUUAAUUUUAGAUUUUAAUAAGGUGUAAUUUAUUUACACAUUCAAU